rnacentral:lncRNA from 1 species
GGCGUGUGUUGAGAGAAAAAAACACACACACGCAAUGACCCACGAGAAAGGGAAAGGGGAAAACACCAACUACCCGGGCGCUGGGCUUUUUCGACUUUUCCUUUAAAAAGAAAAAAGUUUUUCAAGCUGUAGGUUCCAAGAACAGGCAGGAGGGGGGAGAAGGGGGGGGUUGCAGAAAAGGCGCCUGGUCGGUUAUGAGUCACAAGUGACUUAUAAAAGGGUCGCACGUUCGCAGGCGCGGGCUUCCUGUGCGCGGCCGAGCCCGGGCCCAGCGCCGCCUGCAGCCUCGGGAAGGGAGCGGAUCGCGGAGCCCCGAGCCGCCCGCAGAGCAAGCGCGGGGAACCAAGGAGACGCUCCUGGCACUGCAGUAACUUGUCUGCAUUUCAAGAACAACCUACCAGAGACCUUAGCUGUCACCUUGGCUCUCCCACCCAAUGGAGAUGGCUCUAAUGGUAAGGAAUUCUAUCUUAAGUAAAAGGGAAGGGAAACACGCUGACAGAUGCAGUUUUUAUAGAGGCAGGUCAUGGGGGCACCAAGUUGGCAGCCACUUUCAACUUUUGAUUCUACCUCAAAAGGUAACCAAGAAAUCGUUGUUAUUCUAAAGAUUAUGACAAGUCCAAAGUUUCACAGAAUCCUGAUUUUUAUACACUUGCAUUAAUCACUGCUUACUUCCAUGAUGUAAACCAAAACUGCAGCGGCAGAAUAUAGAGAAUCAGAAUAAAUUCUGAUAGAAAAGCCAGAUACUGUUUCCACAUAUACAAGUAUAUGCUAAUUGCUUUUAGCAAACUGAUCCAAAUAGGAAUCAACAUUAUUCCAUCUUAAUGAUUAUGUUUUUGAUUGGUACACAUAAAUGUUAAAGUG